rnacentral:rRNA from 1 species
UACAGAGGUCUCGAGCGUUGUUCGGAUUCAUUGGGCGUAAAGGGCGCGUAGGCUGCGGGGCAAGUCGGGUGUGAAAUCUCAGAGCUCAACUCUGAAACUGCACUCGAUACUGCUUUGCUUGAGGACUGGAGAGGAGAUUGGAAUUCACGGUGUAGCAGUGAAAUGCGUAGAUAUCGUGAGGAAGACCAGUGGCGAAGGCGGAUCUCUGGACAGUUCCUGACGCUGAGGCACGAAGGUCAGGGGAGCAAACGGG